rnacentral:lncRNA from 1 species
AGCUCUUGCAUACACAUGAGUUGGCAGCCGGUCUGAGCUGACCCAUAGACUCGUAAAAACCAACAGGGCCUCAGCACCCUCGCCUGGGAUACCCAAACUCUUGGACCAAAGGUGCAAAGUCUUGCCCACAUCAAGGAUCUGGCUGCUUUCUUGGGGACCAAGAGAUUGGGUUUUUGUUUCUACGCUUACUCUGGCAAUCCAUGAGGUUUAAUGAAUUACGUGGGGACACCGGCCAUAUAAAAACACAAGCAGGCACUCAGUCUUGGACCAGUCAACCACGGAGUUGGAAUUCAGGUCUGACCCAGGACCACGGGUUCCAAGGCGAGAGACUCUGGGGCACCUGCACGUACUCUCCAGGUAGACUGGCCUUGUUGCUUUUCACAGGAAUCAGUAUUCAUAAUAGACAGGAGCUAUAUUUCAGUCCCCCACCCCCAGUCUCAUGUAUUUAUGAUACUUGGUAAGAUCAGCUUUGGUCCUGAUAUUGUAUCAUCAAACAGGUCAUUACGGUCUAUAUUAAUCCAGGUGAGGAUUUUUUUUAUUUUAAGGCAGGCAACUGAAAAUAGAAACAAGGUGGACUGAUACAUUCUUUCUUGCUCUUUUUUUUUUUAAGUUUAUGUAUUUAUUUUGAGAGAGAGAAAGGGGGAGGGAGGGGCAGAGAGAGAGAGAGAGAGAGAGACUGGGAAAGAGAGAAUCCCAAGCAGGCUCCAUGCUGUCAGCGUGGGGCAUGAUGCAGGGCUCGAACACACAUGAGAUCAUGACCUGAGCCAAAAUCAAGAGUCAGACACUAAAGACACUUACCCAACCCAGGCGCCUCUCUUGGUCUUGACAGUGGUGCUUG